rnacentral:rRNA from 1 species
AGAGUUUGAUCCUGGCUCAGAUUGAACGCUGGCGGCAGGCCUAACACAUGCAAGUCGAACGGUAGCACAGAGGAGCUUGCUCCUUGGGUGACGAGUGGCGGACGGGUGAGUAAUGUCUGGGAAACUGCCCGAUGGAGGGGGAUAACUACUGGAAACGGUAGCUAAUACCGCAUAAUGUCGCAAGACCAAAGAGGGGGACCUUCGGGCCUCUUGCCAUCGGAUGUGCCCAGAUGGGAUUAGCUAGUAGGUGGGGUAACGGCUCACCUAGGCGACGAUCCCUAGCUGGUCUGAGAGGAUGACCAGCCACACUGGAACUGAGACACGGUCCAGACUCCUACGGGAGGCAGCAGUGGGGAAUAUUGCACAAUGGGCGCAAGCCUGAUGCAGCCAUGCCGCGUGUAUGAAGAAGGCCUUCGGGUUGUAAAGUACUUUCAGCGGGGAGGAAGGCGAUACGGUUAAUAACCGUGUCGAUUGACGUUACCCGCAGAAGAAGCACCGGCUAACUCCGUGCCAGCAGCCGCGGUAAUACGGAGGGUGCAAGCGUUAAUCGGAAUUACUGGGCGUAAAGCGCACGCAGGCGGUUGGAUAAGUUAGAUGUGAAAGCCCCGGGCUCAACCUGGGAAUUGCAUUUAAAACUGUCCAGCUAGAGUCUUGUAGAGGGGGGUAGAAUUCCAGGUGUAGCGGUGAAAUGCGUAGAGAUCUGGAGGAAUACCGGUGGCGAAGGCGGCCCCCUGGACAAAGACUGACGCUCAGGU